rnacentral:rRNA from 1 species
GAUGAACGCUGGCGGCGUGCCUAAUACAUGCAAGUCGAACGCUUCACUUCGGUGAAGAGUGGCGAACGGGUGAGUAAUACAUAAGUAACCUGGCAUCUACAGGGGGAUAACUGAUGGAAACGUCAGCUAAGACCGCAUAGGUGUAGAGAUCGCAUGAACUCUAUAUGAAAAGUGCUACGGGACUGGUAGAUGAUGGACUUAUGGCGCAUUAGCUUGUUGGUAGGGUAACGGCCUACCAAGGCGACGAUGCGUAGCCGACCUGAGAGGGUGUCCGGCCACACUGGGACUGAGACACGGCCCAGACUCCUACGGGAGGCAGCAGUAGGGAAUUUUCGGCAAUGGGGGAAACCCUGACCGAGCAACGCCGCGUGAAGGAAGAAGUAAUUCGUUAUGUAAACUUCUGUCAUAGAGGAAGAACGGUGGAUAUAGGGAAUGAUAUCCAAGUGACGGUACUCUAUAAGAAAGCCACGGCUAACUACGUGCCAGCAGCCGCGGUAAUACGUAGGUGGCGAGCGUUAUCCGGAAUUAUUGGGCGUAAAGAGGGAGCAGGCGGCACUAAGGGUCUGUGGUGAAAGAUCGAAGCUUAACUUCGGUAAGCCAUGGAAACCGUAGAGCUAGAGUGUGUGAGAGGAUCGUGGAAUUCCAUGUGUAGCGGUGAAAUGCGUAGAUAUAUGGAGGAACACCAGUGGCGAAGGCGACGAUCUGGCGCAUAACUGACGCUCAGUCCCGAAAGCGUGGGGAGCAAAUAGGAUUAGAUACCCUAGUAGUCCACGCCGUAAACGAUA